rnacentral:rRNA from 1 species
GAUGAACGCUGGCGGCGUGCCUAAUACAUGCCAGUCGAGCGAACAGACGAGGAGCUUGCUCCUCUGACGUUAGCGGCGGACGGGUGAGUAACACGUGGAUAACCUACCUAUAAGACUGGGAUAACUUCGGGAAACCGGAGCUAAUACCGGAUAAUAUCUUGAACCGCAUGGUUCAAUAGUGAAAGACGGUUUUGCUGUCACUUAUAGAUGGAUCCGCGCCGCAUUAGCUAGUUGGUAAGGUAACGGCUUACCAAGGCAACGAUGCGUAGCCGACCUGAGAGGGUGAUCGGCCACAUUGGAACUGAGACACGGACCAGACUCCUACGGGAGGCAGCAGUAGGGAAUCUUCCGCAAUGGGCGAAAGCCUGACGGAGCAACGCCGCGUGAGUGAUGAAGGUCUUCGGAUCGGAAAACUCUGUUAUUAGGGAAGAACAAAUGUGUAAGUAACUAUGCACGUCGUGACGGUACCUAAUCAGAAAGCCACGGCUAACUACGUG